GUCGCAAGCCAGCGAGCGAGCAAAGCAAGAUGAUGAUGACCAUGUCGUCGCCGGCGGCCACCGCCUGCCUCCCCGCCUCGCCCUCCCUCGGGCCCCGCUCCCUUCGCCUCCUCCGCGGAGCUCUGGCCCGGAGGGGCAGCCGCCGGCUCGGGGUGGUGCGCGCGGCCAGCGCGGAGGUGGCCGCGCCCGACGCCGCCGCCGCCGCUCCGGGCUACACCUCCG
rnacentral:misc_RNA from 1 species